rnacentral:rRNA from 1 species
UACGUAGGUGGCGAGCGUUAUCCGGAUUUACUGGGUGUAAAGGGCGUGUAGGCGGGUUAGCAAGUUGGAAGUGAAAUACCGCAGCUUAACUGCGGGGCUGCUUUCAAAACUACUAAUCUUGAGUGUCGGAGAGGAAAGUGGAAUUCCUAGUGUAGCGGUGAAAUGCGUAGAUAUUAGGAGGAACACCAGUGGCGAAGGCGACUUUCUGGACGAUAACUGACGCUGAGGCGCGAAAGCGUGGGGAGCAAACAGGAUUAGAUACCCUGGUAGUCCCUGA